UGUGCGUCACGACGCCGCCAGCUGAUCGGAGACUGGAGCCGGUGUGUGCUGGGCGCUGGGAAGAGACAGCGCCGCCGGCCGUGGGGAGCUGACGCAGUGAUUUGCUCCCUUACCCUCAGCAACCCCCACACCCAGCACCAGGAGCCCAAUCCUCUCACAUCCUCACCUGGCUGAGCCGCAGUAGUUCUUCAGUGGCAAGCUUUAUGUCCUGACCCAGCUAAAGCUGCCAGUUGAAGAACUGUUGCCCUCUGCCCCUGACUUCGAGGAGGAGGAGGAAGAGGAAGAGGAGGAGCUGCUCUCCCCAUCAUCUGGAAGUGUCCCCCUCCAGCCCUGGGAAUGUGGCUGUGCCAUCUUCACCCAUCAUGGAGCAGAGGUGAGGAAGGGCAGCCUGGGAACACGGAGACCAGUGAAGGACCAGGCCUGGACAGCACAGGGCCCUAUUUGGACAUCCAGCAGAGGGGCCCAUAAAGGCCAGGAGCACCCCAAGAGGAGGGAGAACAGCCAGCCUCUGUCAAACGACAAGCUUCCAGCCAUCUCCUACUUCACUCACCAUUUCUCUCCAGUCUUUCUGCCUCCCUCAGAGAUGUGGGACCAUAGGAAAGCAUCCUGUAACUUCACCCUCCUACUUCCACCUUUUCCCCAGCCUGUAAUUUUUAUAUAAGCAGCCUCAAGGAGCAAGAGCCAGCUGUGAAAGGACAUACACAGGAAUUCAUAACAGAAAUUCAAAUGGAUAAAACCAUGAAAGAAAUGCAUGCUUCAUUAGUAAGUAAAGAAAGGCAAAUAUAUAAUAGCUGAAAGCAUUUUUCCCUUAGCAAACUAUAGCAGAAAAAAAUAAGGCCCAACAUUGGCAAAAGAGUACUGAAAUAACAUUCUCAUACAUUGCAUGUGGGAGUAUAAAUUGGUUUAGCCUUUUGGAUGGCAGUUAGGUAAUAUGUAUCAUAUACCCUAAAAGCUUCCAUGUCCUUUGACCUUGUAAUUUUAUGUCUGGGAAUUUAUCCUAAGAAAAUAAUUAAGGAUUUAGUUAUAAGAUGUUCAUCCCAGCAUUGCAAUAGGGAAAAAUGAGAAGCAACUGUUUGAUUGGGAAUUCAUUCCUUUUCUGCUAUAAUGAAAAUUUGCAAUAGGGGGUUGCUUAAGUAAAUUAUUGUAUAUCCAUCCAGAUGGCGGAGUACUGCACAGCCAUUAAAAGUCACAUAGAAAAACAUUUGACUAGAAAGAAAAAUGCUCUCUGAAUAUUAAAAAGGUUAUAAAAAGUAUAUAUUAUGUGAUCUCAAUUUUAUUUUUAAAAAUAUGAGUAUAUACUUGUAUGCAUAGAACAGAUAAAAAAGAUUGAAGACAUACUCAAAAAUGUUAAUAGUGGUUAUCUUUGGAUGGUGUGAUUUUCCUCUGGUUUUUCUGUAAUUUUUCAAAUUUUCUACAUUAAUUGUGUAUUGUUUUCAUAUAAUAAAAAUUUAAAUGAU